ACUGAUAUAAAAUUGUAUAAGAAUUGGAGGAAAUGGCAUGCCUUGGAUCGUGGCGGCCUGCCCAGGAUUGUCUCUUUGGAAUUGUGUGGGUAGAAGGCCUAGUAAACAAGGCAAAGAACCAAUGACGUGACAGAAUGGACUAUAAAUGGAUGCCUAUGAUUUCUGCAAAUCAGAGUAGUUUUUUUGAUCCAGAGUCCCAUGUGGAGAUAGAUGUGGUUUUCGCUGGCUCCCCGCAUCUUAUGAUCUUAUCCUGAUGGAAGGAAUCUUGGCUGGCCAUCGGGACCAUUCUGACCUUUGGACUCUGGUAUAGUAUGUUUGGGGUAUGAAUGUGGAGUGAGUAAGGUUUGUUUUGUAAUCAAUAAAGAGCAUUUAGAGUAUUAUAUACGAACACUGUGUCCAGUAUCUACUUGCUCCCCAUUUCGUGGGGAGACCUCUAUUGCGGAUCUAACUUGUGGUGGAGAAUGCGGAAUGGGGAGAGAGAUAUUAAGGAGUGUCGGAUUUUGAGACGGGGUCAUACAGAGUUGGGGGAGUCCUUAUUUAAGAUUAAUAAGGGUGACUCCUUAUUUGUGAAAUUUGUGAGGAAAAAAAUGUGUGGGGAGAUACCAUGUGGUGUUAGUGUAAUAAUGUUUAAAAUGCUGUUUAAGAAGAGAAGUAAAGGGGUGGGAGAGGCACCCCAGUGGACUAAAGCUAAAGCCCAUUCUCUGUUAGAGAAGGAGAUUAUUGCAUUUGGGACGUGCCCUUGGAUGGAAGGUGCAGUGGAACCAGAUUUAGCACUUGAUACCUUACAAAACAUGUUCGAAAUAUAUGUAUAGUUGUACAAGCCUAAUGCUAGUAAAAAGCAAACAGCCGUAGUAUGGCUGUUGUGACAAGCUAUAGAAAAGGCAAUUGCAUGUAAGGGGGAAGUCUGCAGAAUUACAAACAUUACAAGAGAAUUUUAAAACUUGCCAGGAAAAUUUGGAACGGGAAGUGAGGCAGGCAGAUAAUGCAAACUCAGUUAGAACAAAUGGGGAAACAAAAUAGGGAACUGGAGAAAAGAAUGCUGGACUGGGAAAAGAUUAAAGCAGACAAAGAUAAAUUAGACCAUCAAGUGAUAGGAAUGAAACAGUUAAUUUGAGAUUUGACUAAGAAAAAGGAAGAGGAGAUCGCAAGCGUUUCUCACAGUUGGUGACAAAAAAUUAUAGCAGCAUUGAAAAAGCAAGGGAAAACAUAGGAGCUGUAGGUUGCGGCUGUGUGUCAAAAAGAGAGAGAUUUGGAUUUGGAUUCCAAUGAUAUGUGGUAUGGAGAGUAUCUGCAAGGGGGUCAAGAGAAAACGGAAUUUGACCAAACUCAAGAGGGGCUUUAUACUAAGUUGAGGGAAGAAAUAAGAAACUGGCUGGGAGAGCCUAAACCAGAAAAGUCUGUAGCAGUGCUAGAACGGAGAUCAAUCAUUAAGGAUACAGCGGGGGAGAUACAGUCAGAGCAGACACAAAUAAUUCCUGCGAGUUCAUCAGAUUUACAGUUGAUGGUAAAGUCAUUACGCCCAGUGAAUAUGAAAAAUUUAGUUACAUGGCUAUCACAGUGGGCAGAGUUAGGAGGAACAGAGAAUUUAAAUAUGAGUGAAUCUUAUAGGUUAAUCAGGCCAGCUACCACUGGAGAGAUUAGACAGGCAGUAGAUCGAGUGAAAAAUGCUUCGAACAGGCAGCCAAAAGCACACCAACUGAUACCAUGAUUUAUUAUGCUGUUAGGAAAAGAAAUAGGUCAAAGACCCAUGAAGGUGUUAUCCAGUGCAGAUUACAUGAAGCCUGGAGAUUCACCCAGGGAUUACCUGUUAAGGAGAAUAAUAUUGGGAUUAUUGGCUGGAGAAAUACAACCAGUGACUAAUCCCACAGUGGAGGUUGCCAGACAUGUCACAGCUGAUUCUUUGAUGGCAGUUAAUUUGAAUCAGAGGGAAUUUUGGAAUAAUGUGUUUGAAGGAUUGGACAGAAAUUUAUUAGUGAUGUGUACAAAUGUGGUGAACCAAGCAGCCCAGGAUGAGGGGUUAACAGUUAUGAAUGCACUGGAGCACUGGCUAGUAUGCCAACGCAUGAUGAAAGGGGGAAGCCAGGUAGAAGGAUUGAAACCCAGAGUACCUUUUGCUGAAGCAAUAACAUAUUCAAAUGAGAUUUCUUAUAGAUCAGGGCACCGCGAGAGAGGAAGAGGCCAUGGUAGAGGACAAAACACCCCACCCAAGGAGGUAGAGAGUAGAAUAAUCAAAAUAAGCCCCAGAAGGGAGUAGGUGUGCUUCGUAAUAUUGCUUGGAGGUAAUUGAAAUUGAGGGGAGUAGACAUGGAUAAGUGGAAUGGGAGACGUACUGAUGAAUUGAUCAAAGAAAUGCAAAGGAUGGAAGAAGAAAUGUUUAAGGAGCAGAAAAAGGUUGCAGCUAUGCAAGCUGAGGGUUCAGAGAAACCCUCUACAGGGAAGACCCAAUGACAAGUUGCUUCCACUGGAAAUGGGUCCUCAGGAGUGGGGGAUGGUAACUAGAUUAAGAUGGGAUUCAAAUGGGAGGCCUAGGACAACUGUCAUUAUGGGAAAUAAUGGACACAAAGAUGCCCUAUUGGAUAGUGGGGCCGGUGUAAAUAUUGUAAAUAGACAUUGUGAUUUGACUCAAUACGUGUCAGAGAUCAUUACAGCAGCCUCCUUUAUUGGGGAAGGAGUGACAGGAAAAAUGUAUCAUUCGGUAGAAAUAGUUAUACCCGGAGGGGUGAGGGGUGGGGAUUUUUGUUGUAAAGAACAAAUGCUUCAGAUAGAUCAGGCAGCUGAGCCUGUAAUAUUGGGUACUCCUUUUCUGAAGAGGAAUUAGUUAGUUUUGGAUUUCACUAAUGGAGUUCAUUUGGAACUCCAGCUGGAUGGAAGGCAUCCUGAAAGCAGGGUACAUUCCAAGAAUAUGCAGAAGCAGUGGAGGAGAUUAUACUGGCUCAACAGAAUGUGUGGGUAAAGGAGUUUCCCGAUGCAUGGAUUAAGAAUAAAACAGAAUGUGGUAAAAGCGAAGCAUGUGUUAAAAUCAUGGGGGACGAAGUGCCACCACAGAGACAAUAUAAAUAUCCUGUGCAAGCGGAGGCAGGAAUUGAGAAAAUAAUUGAAUCAUUAGAACAACAGGGGAAUUCCUCAUACAAAUAGCCCAAUUUGGCCCUUAUUAAAAGCCUCAGGAGACUGGAGAUUGACAAUGGAUUUUAGACAAAUGAAUAAAGCUACCCCCUUCUGCCCGCCAUGGCACCAAUAGUAGCAGAUCUACUUCAAGUAAUGGCAAGAAUACAGGGAGCCUCUAAAUCGUUCUGUCUUAGAUUUGGCAAAUUGCUUUUUCACCAUCCCACUGCAUCCUGAUUCUUGGGCCCGCUUCAUAUGUAGACGACAUAUUAGUGUGGGGGGACAGUGAAAAGGAGGUGACUGAGUGGACUAAAACAGUGUUGAGACUCAUCCAGGAAACGGGUUUCAAGGCUAAUAAAGAGAGAGCCCAACUAGUACAGCGGAGAGUGACUUAUUUGGGGGUGACCCUAAGGGAACAAGGAAUUCGGGUAGAUCAACAAAGGGUGAAACCAUUAAUGAAUUUAUCAAGGCCAGAUGAUUCUCAUGCAUUGAGGGUUAUGUUAGGAGGGUUUAACUAUUUAAGGAAACACAUCUGGAAUUUUGCCACUAUAACUGGACUGUUGUGGCAUUUACUAAAAAAGAAAGUAGAAUGGGAUUGGGGUCCUGAACAAGAAAAAGCUUUCUGUAAUUUAAAACAAGCCUUGAGGAAAGCUCCAGCAUUGAAAUUCCCAGAGAUAAACAAGCUGUUUGUGAUUAAGUUGGCAGCAACCCAACAAAGUCUAGCAGCAGUAUUGAUGCAGGAAAUUGACAGGAAGUUAGUACCUGUAGCAAACAAGUCUAGAAGAUUAACCCCUAUAGAGCAGCAGUUUGGGAUCUGUGAAAGAGAAUGCUGAGCUUCUGUGUGGGCCAUUGAAGCUUUUGCUUUGACUACUGGCACAGCCCCUAUUAUAAUACAAACACCUCACUCUCCCCUGAAGUAUAUUUUAUCAGGGAAACUGCAGGGGAAAGGAGUAUCAAAUACCACGAUGGCUCAAUGAACCUUGAUGUUAACUAGCAGAGAUGUUACUUACGAGAAUAACAAACAAGCAAUGAUGUUACCAUAUGCCUUCCUGACAGAAGGAGAGGAGCAUGAAAGCCCACUUCCAGAAACUUAACUGAAGUUAGUUGAAGAAGCACCCCAGGUAGAUGAAGUCUUAAGCCUAGUAGAAAAAGAGGUUUGGUUUACAUAUAUGGUGGUUCAUACCAUGAGAACCCUAAGCCAUAUAUGGGAUAUGCUGCUGUACAAAUUGAUGGGGAAACUAUUUCUGGUUCUAUGAGUAUGACUUCAGCUCAGGGAGCAGAGGUCAGAGCUCUUAGUGAUCUGCUUAAACAGAAAAAAUAAUGUUUCAGACUGUCUUUAUGUCUAUAUGGAUUCAGACGUUGUGGUACAAGGAAUGUUAUACUGGAUUGGGAUUUUGAAAAAGAAUCAUUGGGAAAAAUUUGGUCCAAAAGGAGGAUUGGAAAUCUAUCUAUGACUGACUGAAAAAAACCAAGGAGAAUUAAUAGUAAGACAUAUUGAAGGUCAUCAAAAGUGAGAAGGGGAUGAAAAAUAUUGGAAUGAUAAAGUGGAUGCUUUAGCUAAAUUAGCAGCAAAGGAACCUUUGGGAGUUGUGGCAGUUACUAGAGCUCAAGCCAUAAAACAGGAGGUUAAACCCGAGGAAAGAUGGUGAAACUGGAAUAUACAAGGUGGCUAUGCGGUGCUUAAAUAAAUAGGAGAGGUAAAGUGGGUACCUGACAAACUUCAAAGAGAUGAGAUUAUUAAUCUGUGUCACUCUAUGGCCCACCAAAGAAUAGAGAAUACUCUCUUUAAGGUAAAACAAAUUGGAAUAUGGCCUAAGGUGCAAGAGGAUGUAGAAAACGUUGUUAGAAACUGCAUAAGGUGUGCAGAAGACAGGAAUAGACCGCUGAAUUUGAUACCCUUGUUGCUCCAAAGAUUUGUGGAGCCAUGGAGUAGAAUACAGAUUGAUUAUAUUGAUAAAUUGCCUAAGACCUAAAGAGUGAAUCAGUAUUUAUUAGUGAUAGUAGAUUCCUUUUCUGGAUGGGUGGAGGCGAUUCCCACCAGAAAUCACACUGCAGAGACCACUGACAAAAAAGUUGUGGGAGGUAGUGUUUAGUAGAUUUGGAACUCAAAAGUAUUGAUUCAGAUAAUGGGCCACAUUUUGUAGGAGCAGUAAUUACAAAUUUGUUAAAAGCUUUAGGAAUAAAGCAACAACUACAUAUCCCCUAUCAUCCUCAAUCGUCAGGACAGUAGAAAGGAUCAAUCAAACUGUUAAACAAGCUCUACACAAAGUAGUGCAAGAAACUGGCAAAAAUUGGGAUGAUAAAUUGCCAGUGGUGUUGGUGGCCAUCCAAAGUAGUGACUGAUAGGGUACUGGCUACCAGCCUUAUCAAAUUCUCUUUGGAAGGCCUAUAAGAUUGUGGAGCCUUUUUUUGUACCCAGAAGAAGAAGAAGAAGAAGAAGAAGAAGACAAGGUAUCAGUUACCCAGUGAGUAAGGGAGUUACCGAUAGAACUUAAGAAAAUGGAAUUUAAACUGACUGAUGCCAUUGAAAAAGAAAGAGACUGUGGAUUCUCAUGUAGCUCAGGACAGUAAAUUAUGGAAAAUCGGAGAUAGAGUAAUGUAUUUGAAAUUAACAUAGAAAAAUCAUGUCCUGGAGUCUAAAUGGAUUGCAUCAUUUUCCAUCAUGAAUAAAAUUUCACCUACUGUAGUGCAGAUUAACAAGGGGGAAAGGGAAAGUGGGUCCACACAUCACAAUUAAAGUUAUGGCCUAAAGAUUAAAUAAUGUUCCCUUCUUUUUUCUUUUAAUUUAUCUUACAAAGGGAAAGGAAUGCCUAAUUGCUCCAGAGAUUAUCCUGUAUGGACCUUGGAUUUUGAGUGUGGGUACAGUGCUAAAAUUUUUGUCUUGGUUUAUUGCUUAUGUUUGCUUUGCUUUGCACUUUGUGCUUAGCAGAAGAAUUGUGUUGUGUGCAUUAUAUUUUAGGAAGAAAAAAAUAAUACCAGAGCUUGACCGAAGAUAGAAGAGGUUAGUGUAAGUAUUUACAAUAAUACAGCCGGAAGCAUCGGACAUUAUUCCUAUGGAAUAAUGGACAUGGCUUCAAUGUUGAGGAUCCUCAUAAUUCAAAAAGAGUGGAAAUAUGGUUUUUGGUUUUUAUGUUUUUUUAAUAUUUGGGGAAAUUAAGGGGUACAUGGAUAUACAUAUGGGGGCACCUCUAGGAUGGUGGUAUAGAUCAAAGGGAAUAAUACAUUUGACUAUUCGUGGGACAGAAUGGGAAAAACAGGACCAAACAAAACCAAAUGUAAAGAAAAACCUUCUGAGGUAAAAUUUGAAGUACGGUGGGAAGAUGACAAAAAUGUGACAUGGGAACAUCUAAAAGCCAAAAUAUUUGGAAGAGCAAUGGAGAUAUCUGUAUGUACUAAGGGGGGAAGGCCACCUAAUGUUUCGAUUUAUUUAUGAUGAAAACAAUCUGAAUGUGAGUAUCCUGAAAUGUACCUUUUAGAGUUUGGGAUUUGAUGUAAUCACCCUAGAUGUGACUAAUGAACAAGAAUUGGCUAAUACUCAUGUGGGAUGGAAUGAGUCAAUGGCUCUUAAAUUAUGGGAAUAUAGUGUAAUAGCAAAUUCUUCCAUAAUGACAAAAUUCAGCUGCUUUAGGAAAAUUAAUGGGAGAAUAUAUUUUGGGGGAUAUGGUCAUUUUUUUAAUGUUUCUUAAUCAGCUACCAGUAAAUAAGAUUGCACCAAGAAUCAUGGCAAACGAGCACCCAUAUAGGAGGGGAGAAGUAAUCAAAGCCCCAGCUAUUGUGGAUCAAACAGUCUGGUUGGAAGGAGCACAAGUAAACAUAAGUGUACAACAUCUGGAGUGUAUGCCAGAUGCCUUGCCUCUAUUACAAGCAUGGCAACAACAAUGGGGAGAUGGGACUAUACGAAAUAAGAGAGGUAUAGGGGAAUAUAUCAUAGGUAGCAUUGGUGCUGGAUCUGGAGUUUUAAACUGAUUUGAUAUUGAGACAUUCCAAGGGGAAAUGUCAGCUUUGGGUAAGAUUUUGGGGGCUAUACAGACACAUGUGACACAAAAUUUUGGUGCAUUAUCAGAAUAAGGAGUAAGAAGUGUAGGACUUCAAUUGAAACAAGCCCAAGCCUUGAAAACGUCUCUAAAUGUAAAUCUAUUUGGUGUGUCUGAGAUUGAUAAUAAAACAGCCCUAGCAAUACGACGUGUACAAUUGCAAACUUAUGGGAUACAAUACAUAGAGAGAAUGGUCAAUCUACUAAGUAAUGUACAAUAGCCUUUUGAAUGGUUCAAAGAUCAUCAUAUAUGAAAUCAACGAAUUACAGGACGGAAGAAAUAUAUUGAGUUUAAUUGGGAUCAAGCCACUCUGAGGGGAGAGUGGAAAGGCAGAAUGCUGUUACACAGCAUAGGGAAGCAAAGAAAAGCAGCAAUGGCCUGGAUGUUGCCAAAAAUUAUUAAUGGAGCGUUAUGGCAAAUAGAAAUAAGUGGGACACACUUGAUUCAAGAAGAAGGGGAUUGUAAAUUAGUAGAAUUAAUGAAAUAUUGUGAAGAGUGGGGAUGAAGUAAAUGGGAGCGCCCACAACUAACUUGGUCCCUAGAGGGAUGUCAUUUGAAGCAUUCAAGUAGACAAUGUACCAUGCAAUAUUUAGCCUCUAAUGGCACAAGAGUGUCUGAUUUAGGCAACAGGUGUAUUUGUGUGGUAACUACUGAAAAACACAUAUUUUGGGGAAGUAUGAAAAAAGGACCAAUUGAAUUCAUGUAAAUGUAAUGUAACAGACGUCAUUAUUUACCAAGGUCCUCUAUUUUUAAAAAAGGAAAUUGUUUGGGAACCAAAAGAUGUAGACUGGUCCUUUGAUAUGGGGAUACAUUGGGAACAAGCGAAAAAAAUCAGGCAAUAUGCAAAAGAUGUAUCUAUGUAUGCUCAGCUGGGAAAAAUAAACAUUUUGACCCACAAUGGUCAAAUAUUAAAAUUGGGGAAAGAAGGAGAAGAAUUGGCAAUUUCUCAUUGGUAUGAUGUUUUUAAAGGAUGGUCUCCCAAUGUCACAGAUCUUCUAAAUUUAAUGCUACACCCUAUUGUCAUAUUAUUUGUAUUAAUGAUAUUGUUAACCUUUAUUAUGCUAUGUUUACGCUGCUGGAUAAGAAAGUGACAAGAAGUUUUGGAUCAAGUGAUAUAUAAAAUUGAAUUGCUUGUGAAAUUAUAAAGUGAUACAAUAAUUAAUGGCAUUAAUCGUGUAUCAAGAUGGAGGAAUGUUGGGGAUAUAUAUAUAUAUACACACAUGGUGAUUCAUAUAUCUAUGUAAUAUGUUAUAGGUAAUUGAGGCCUGGUAUGAAUGAUACGUGCUUGACAUGAAUGUGUGCGUUGCAAGUUAGCAACUGAAGCAAGAACUUAAGGUCAAGGACUAUUAGAACUAUUUCUUCAAAAAAAAUCUUAUGUUCAGAGAAAAAUACAGAAAAUCAUCUGAAAAGGAAACAACAUCAGCUGGACUGAUAUAAAAUUGUAUAAGAAUUGGAGGAAAUGGCAUGCCUUGGAUCAUGGCGGCCUGCCCAGGAUUGUCUCUUUGGAAUUGUGUGGGUAGAAAGCCUAGUAAACAAAGGCAAAGAACCGAUGACAUGAUGGAAUAGACUAUAAAUGGGAUUUCUGCAAAUGGGAGUCGUUUAUUGAUCCAGAGUCCCAUGUAGAUAUAGAUGUGGUUUUCGCUGGCUCCCCACAUCUUAUGAUCUUAUCCCAAUGGAAGGAAUCUCGACUGGCCAUUGGGACUAUUCUGACCUUUGAACUCUGGUAUAGUAUGUUUGGGGUGUGAAUGUGGAGUGAAUAAGAUUUGUUUUGUAAUCAGUAAAAAGCAUUUAGAGUAUUAUAUACCAACACUGUGUCCGGUAUCUGCUCGCUCCCCAUCCCAUAGGGAGACCUCUAUUGAGGGUCUAACAGAGAUAGUAAAAUUCAAAAUGACAAUGCAGAAAAGACAGAGGUAUUUUAAAAAGCUUGAGUUCAGUAUUUGGAAAAAAAGCAGGAUGAUGUGCUGAGGAUGUUGUAUGUAUUUCCAUUACAUUAGUAACCAAAGAGGAUGUUAAACAACAUCUGUUAGGAAUAAAUAUUUUGAAAUCUGCAUGGUCAGGUAACUUGCACACAACAGUCCCUAAAGAGCUGAAUGAGGAGAUAUCUGGCCCACUCAUGUUCAUUGUUAAUAAAUCUUGGGAAACCAGGGCAAUUCCUGAGGAACAUAAGAGUGCUAAUGCCUUUUUAAUAUUCAAAAAAGGCAACUGGGAUGAUCAGGUAUGAUAAUUUGGGGAAUGUCUGUACUAUUUAUUAUUUCCAGGGAGAUUAUGAACUCAGUUUAUAUCUUUACCAAGCUGCAAACUCCACUUUGAAUGUGCAGCCCAUUUGCCUUCUCUUAUUGUCUGUUUCCUUGAUGUUGGAUAGAAAUUCCAAAAGCUGGUAGAAAGGGAAUAACAAAGAGAGGGUGAUCUGACUUAAAAUGCUCUCCCAUUGAAAUGGAAUAGCUCAAAUAAAAUUGACUAGCUCCCAACUCUGAGAACUGGUUAGUCACCUGCUAGGGGUUUCCUGAUCAGCCUGCUCAGGUGACUAGAGGGCAUCCAGUAGAGGGCCUGAAAGGUUAUAAAAGACAGGUGCUAUUCUAUUUGUUUACUUCAUCCUUCCUAUUUUUUUACCAGAUCAAGCUGAGAGGAGCUGCAUGUAGUAGCCUCAUGAGCCAAAAGGAAACCUGCCUUCCUCAACACAUAUGGAGUCCUAAAGACUCCCAAGGGAAGGUUGAACUAGUAAGGGGCAUUACAUUUAGAAUGCCUGUCUAUUUCCUAAAUUAUCUGUGCUUUAUCUAUUAAAUAAAAGAACAAUGGUGUUAGAAUGAUGGUGUCUAUGUGUAAUAUGCCAAAUCUACCACAUUGCCCCUAAGAGAGUCAAACUAUAACCCAGAAGGUUCACAACUUCAGUGGGAUUCUGUGUGUAUAAGCUACUGAGGUAGCUUGGGGGUCAGCACUGGUGCUGGGGUUGUAGGCAGGCGGGUUGAGCACCUUCAUUUCAAUGAAAGGGUAGCAGUCUGAUAGCCGGUUUGCAGGAAAUGUGCCAGACAGGACACAGGAGGAAACAGUUCUGCAAUCUUCUGAGACUUAGGGAAGCAUAAAAUACUUCAAGAUCCAGAAAUGAGAUUUCCCCACAGCAAUUUAGUCAGUGUCUGGAAAGGGGAGAAGACAAGAUCUGUGACACCUCGAUAAUUAUCGACCAGUUAGCCUGAUGUCAAUUCUGGGUAAAAUAACGGAAGAGCUGAUACAGGAUUUAAUUCAUAAAUAAUUAAAGAAUAGGACUAUACUGAAUGCCAGCCAACAUACUUAUAUGAAAAAUAGGUCUUCUCAAACAAACCUGACUUCUUUCUUUGAGAAUACAAGUUUGGUUGAUUAAGGUAACUGCAUAGAUGUAAUAUAUUUAGACUUUUGUAAGGCAUUUGUAAGGCAUUUGACUUAGUACCACUUGGCAUUGUGACUAAACUAUUAGCACUGUAGAAUAUCAGUUAAACAUAUUAAAAACUAGCUAAAUGACAGAGCUUGAAAAGUAGUUAUCUGUGUUUCUAGUAGGGUUCCACAGGGAUCAAUAUCUUGCCCAAUGCUAGUUAACGUUUUCAGCAAUAAUCUGGAAGUAAAUAUAAAAUCACUCCUGGGCUCAUUCAAACAAAAUGUUUUGAUACAGCCAAGUGCAAAGUUAUACAGCAGGGAACAAGGAAUGCAGGCCACACCUACAGGAUGUUGGAUUGUACCCUGGAAAGCAGUGACUCUGAUAAGAAUGUAGGGGUCAGAGUGGACAAUGCUGUGGCAAAAAGGGCUAAUGUGAUCUUUGUAUAUAUCUACAGAAAUGUAGUGAAUAGGAGUAGGGAUGUGAUUUUACCUCUCUAUAGAGCAUUGGUGAGACUGAUACUAGAAUACUGCACACAGUUCUGGUAUCAACAAUCAAAAAAGGAUGUGGAAAAACUGGAAAGGGAGCAGAAAAGAUUCAGAAGAAUAAUCUGAGGGCUGAAGAAAAAAGCCUUACAAUUCAUUCUGUUUAACUUAUAAAAAAAAAUUGAGUGAUGACUUGAUUGCAGUGUAUGUAUCGUCACAGGGAGAAAAUACAGGGGACUAAAUGGCUCUAUAAUUUAGUGGAGAAAGGCAUAACAAGAACCAAUGACUGGAAGCUGACAUUUAAUUUAGAAAUAAGGUAAAUUUUUUUGAACAGUGAGGGUGAUAAUCACUGGGGCCAACUACCAAGGGAAAUGGUAACUGAAUGUUUUUCUAGGAACUAUGCUUUAUCCAAGCCUGAGUAAUUGGGCUCAAUACAAUCGUAACUGAGUGAAAUUUUAAGGUCUUUAGUAUACAGGAGGUCAGACUAGAUGAUUUGAUGAUCCCUUGAACUCCUUGAAUCUAUUACUGUUUGUUAACAAUAUUAUAUUGAUGUCUUAAUAAACAGUGGAAUGAAUGAAUCUAUGAUGAUAAUAAUGAAGCAUAGUUACAGAGUUAUGUACGUAAAUAGUAUCUGAACGUCAGUAUUGUUGCACAAGUGUAAUUCAUAAAGUCAUGUUUUUUUAAAGAUGGUAACUGACCGUGAAUCCCAUUGCUGAUUGAACCUGCUAAUAUUCUAAACAGAGCUCUCAACCAUGCUUGUAGCUGUUCCUAUCUCUUCACAUUGACUCACCAGACAUUAUAGGCUCCAGAGUAAUGUUUGAGGUUAUUGUGUGGGUGGUUGUGUUGAUUUGCAUGCAGCUUGUAUUGUGCUGGGAGAUGUGGAUUGAUUUUGUGCAGGGGGAAAAUGAGAAGAGUGUGCUGCAGUGAGGUGGGGUCUGUGUGUUUGGGGUUAUUGUGCAAGCUGAUUGUGGUGUUGUGUAGGUGGUUGUGUUGAUUUGUGUCUGGGAGUGUUGUGCUAGGAGAUUUGUGUUGAUUUGUAUGAGUGUCAGGUGGGCAAAAUAAUCCACCCUCUGUGCAGGCUCCCCAUACAACCAAUGAAAUUGUUGCAUGAAUAUUAGGUGUAGAGUAAAGGUGGUGAUUGGUUGUUACCUCAACUGUCAGAAUGGUCUAGGACUCUUGGCAUAGCAUAGAUACAUGCCUUACUAUAGCUGGAAACAAAACAGGUGAAAUGUGUAAUGUAAAAAAGAUUGCAAACUUAAAAACUGGAUGGUAACAGACCAUGAAAUCUAGUGGUAACUAAACCUGGUGAUAUUCUGAACAAAAAGAGCUCUUGGCCAUGCUUUUAGCAGCUUCCAUCACUUCAUACUGAUUCAAGACAUUUUAGGCUUCAGUAUGCCAUUCCUGGAAUUUUAUUGUACAGAUAAUUAGUUGUUAAAUUUAUUUUGUUGGCCAUGAAAUUAAUAUUUAAUUUGUGUUUAAACUUGCAGAAAACAUUUCUUAUCCACAAAUAAACAUAAUAUGGCUGAUUUUUUAAAAAUUAUCAGUAAUGAUAUCAAUAUAUAUAAAACUGGCAUUUUAGAAAAAUGGUAGGUAAAUAAAAUGUAAUUAGGAGAAAGUUGGUCUCGCUUUAGUGUUUGCAGACCCACAAAGGACCAAAAUUUUCAAAAGUAACUAGUGAUUUGGGGUAACUCAAUUUUGGGGUACAUGACUUGAAGGACCUGAUUUUCAGAGUGGUUUCUCAGCACUUGCUGAGAAUCAGGCCCAUUUAAGCUGUCAUAGGUUAGUAAUCCAAAAAUCAAGGCACCCCCAAAUUACUAGUUAGUUUAAAAGGAUGUCUGAAGUGGAGCAGAGGGACCGAUUUAGUCCUAAAACUGUGCUCAGUACUUUAAAAUAUAUCUCCACAUAUUCUGAAAUGUGCUUCCAUUUAAAACUGAGCAUCUUUGUAUUUCAGUCUUUAGUCUAUGACUAUCAGAGUCCUGAUGCCCCAAGGGGGCAACUGGGGGUCUGAACGCCUAUGAAUAAGUAAUUAAAUCAAUAGGUUGCAUACAAUUUUAUUGAGUAUAAAUAUAUGUCAAAUGAGGUCUUUUACAAAAGCUUGUAAAGUUCUGAACUUGAUGGUCAGUAGGAGAUAUGUGUACAGGUUAUGGUUAUGAAUGUAUGCAUGUGUAUAUAUGUAGGAAAUUGUAAUUUUAACUGUGGUGCAACUACAGCUUCCCCAGAGCCCUGUGUAAGCUCGAAAGCUUGUCUCUCUCACCAACUGAAGUUGGUCCAGUAAAAGAUAUUACCUCACCAGCCUUGUCUCUCCCAUAUCCUUGGACCAAUACGGGCACAACAACACUGCAUACAACAAGGGGUGAUGCAAUUGGGCUGGGAGGGUUCAUCCUCCAGGCUAGCUGUUUACAUGAAACUAACUCCAAACACCUAGGAUAACCCAGGGAAAGACAAUGGUGGACUGUUCGAGUUAAUGGAAAGACAUUGAAACUGAAAAAUAAAACCCAAUCUUGAAAAUCAAAGAAGGGGAAAGUUUCCCCUCUGCUAUGUAACCCUAAAUUACCCCAUUAAAAAGAAAGGGGUUUAAAGUGAAGUCUGUCCAGCAACUGAGGGCCAUCAUCUAAGCAGGGUGCUGUUUGUGAAACACUGGAUUCCCGUCUACAACAAAAGGGCAUGCUAGGAAACUGUUCAGAGACAAUAUGUAAUUUGUAUUAUAAAAGGGAAUUUAGGUAAUAGAGAAGUGUAAAGCCUGAGAUUGUGUCUGUUUUUUUUUUUCUCUGUAACUUGUAUGUGUUUGCUUUUCCUACUAUUUCAUCUCGGAAGCUAUGAUUUGUCUAUUAGAUAAAUUUGUUUGUUUACCCCAAGCAGGUCCCUGGAAUUCAAACUGUGAGAAGUGUGUUCCCAAAGUGUGUUUCCCAAUGGAUAAUUGGGGUCAGGUUUCAUGUCUUCAGGGGUAACGAACUGGAGGCAAAAAGUCUGAAUGUCUGUGAGUUAAGAACUUGGGGACACUCAGAACUAGAAGGUCACCCUGGAAAGAGUAACUAGACUAGUGGAAGCCAGGGUGAAAUCCUAUGCUUAUAGGCUGAUUACUGGUGUCAAAGUCCCACGCCUUAGCAGCACAGCAUUAAGGCACCCAAAUUACAAGGCAGGAGGUGGCAGAACCAUUUACUGCUCUGGGUGUUCCCCAAUGUCACAGUGGUGUAAUCUUUACAGGAGUUCCACCCCCAAUAUCGGUAAACUGUGCUUCACACUGCAAACACUUGCAAAAACAGACCCUAAAGGAUUCAAAAGUGAGGAGCCAAAGUGCAAAGUUACAGUUUAUUAUUUUCUUUUGUUUAUUUUGGGUUAAGCGAAAUAGAACAAGAAAAGGGGAAAAUGAGCCAAUUAAAGUCCUUGGACACAAUGGAUAAAAAGAGGGUUGGGAGCUUAUGUUUGAAAUAUGGUUUACCUCACCAGGGAAAAUCAGCAGAGGAUCUGAAAUCCUCACUCACUGAGUAUUUUGAGCAGGAGGAGGAGAAUGAAGAAGGAGACCACACAGAACUGGAAAACCAGCCAGACUAUAAUUCAUAACAAGAGAUGGCUGCUCAGGUAGAGCUGAGCAGAUUAGAGAUCCUCAGAGACAAGGUGGCAUGUGAGCACCACAUACAGCUGGCAGAGCUGAGAAUGCAAGAGAAGAAAGCUACUGAGGAAGAAGAGGGGAGUGGGCCCACCAGAGAUGAAUGGAGGCAAUCCAGGCAGCCCAGGUCAACGAGCCUAACAGCGACAAAUGCUGGCAAUCAAAGCAGAAGAGAGCAUACCAGUGGCAAAUGGAGGCACAAGAAAUGCAGUGCAGAAUAUUGAAAGAUCUCUCAAGGCCUCAACUCUGCAAGCCCCUAGGCUUGAAACAAUGCCAUCAGAGCACGCAUGCUUCCAGGUUGAAUUCAACGUUUCUAAAUGAGGUAUAACAGAAAAAAACAGCUUGAAUAAUUACUACAUCUGGCUUCCAUAUUAUGGAAGUGUACUCACCUCCCCAAAAUACUUAGCAGUUUUUGCUUCAGCUUUUGCAGUGUGAGACAAAAGGAAAUUUCAUUGCAUCAACAAUUGAAGUGAGUUUUAAAGCGUAUAAAAAGAUAUCUCAGAGAGAGUGUCUUUGACCAGCCGAGCGGGGAAUGGAAAGUCCUGCCAUCCACUGAGCUCAAAUUUUUCAGCUCUCUCUGAACUCCAGGCUUGGAGCUGUGAGGCUGACCCUGCACCUGUCUAUGGAACUGCAGAUGGCUGAUGUAACACAGGCUAUUGCCUUCAAAACAGGAAGGAGGAGGAGAACCAGAUUGCUUGUGUGAGAUGAACGCACAUUUCCAAAAUGCUAAUUAUUUGUUCCCUAAAAUAUUACAGACGUCUUGUGCAUUUACAAUUGGGAUUCGUCUUCAUGCAUCAUUAAAAGCCUAAUGUGUACCUUCGGAGAAGGAGAAAAGUCUGUUCAGAAAUUACAAAAUUUUUAGCUGUAUGCCAAACAACUCUCGUGUUAUUCAUUAAUGUAUUUUAUUUCUUCUUCUCGUGAAUUAAAGGAAUCAGAAGCAAAUAUAGUAUCACAGUGGCUUAAAUAAAGACUUCAGGUAUAGAUUUCAUUAAUCUAAAUGAAGCAUCAUCACACAGGAAAAGUAUAAAUCAAAUAUAUUCAUCAUCCUUGUCUUUUAAAAAAAUCAGUGAAUGUAGUAGCUAAAGGAAUUGUCAAUGUCCUUUGCAGUUAACAAGAGCCAUCGGAAUAUAUAAUUAACUACAAUGGUCUAUUAAAGCAGUAGAAAUAGAACUAAAUUGGUACCUUUCCGAAAAUAUAAAAUAGCACAGCAGUAUUAGAACUUUCAAACAAAAUAACGGUUGAUUUUAAGGAUAAACUGGGAAAAGUAUACCAAAUUGUAAAAAUAAUUUUUUAAUAUUGAAAAUGAGGCAUGUUGUAUCUGACACCAAAAAUACACCCUAAUUAACAUUGUCCACCACGCAAAUAUAUGAACAAAACAACUUAAAAAUUAAACAUAGAAACUAUUGUACAAUAAAGAGCUUUACAUUUAUGAAGUAUAGUAUUUCAGGCCUGUAAUCAGUAUUCUGUUAAUAAAUGGAAGCCCCUUCCAUAGGCUAUUAACUAAAGAUAUCUUUUGUUAUUUGAGGCUGAAACCUACAAUGUGAUCUGCAGUCCCUUUGACUUCACAGAGGCAUAAGGAUACCCCUCUGCAGGAGGAUCUCUUGGUAAGAUCAGAAA